UUCAAAUUCAAGCACUCCUGGAGAAGGGUGCUCUUGUCAAAUGUGAAUCACCAUGCAAUACUCCAUUAUUUCCAGUAAAGAAAAAGACUCCAAAAGGCGAACCAGAAAAGUACAGAUUGGUCCAAGACCUCAGAGCGGUAAAUGAAGCCACAGUUUUGGACACUCCAAUAGUGCCCAACCCACACACUCUCCUUUCCAGCGUUCCACCCUCUGCCAAGUACUUCACUGUAAUUGAUCUAGCCAAUGCCUUCUUCAGUGUUCCCCUGGAUCCAACUUGCCAAUAUCUGUUUGCUUUCACACAUGACAAACAACAGUACACAUGGACUGUCAUGCCCCAAGGGGCACAAAAUUCACCAAGUCAAUUUGCGAAGGCCAUGUGCUCUAUCCUUGAUCCAUGGCAAUCUGACCACCCUGAGGUCGUCCUGCUUCAAUAUGUGGAUGAUUUGCUGCUUUGUGGAGAUGAUAUACCCACAACAGAACAAUGCUCACUUAAUAUUCUUUGCUACCUAGCAGAACAAGGAUGUAAAGCUUCACGUCUCAAGCUGCAAUUCUGCCAACCUACUGUUAUCUUCCUUGGCCAUUGUCUGUCUCAGGGAACCAGACAUCUUACCCGUGACCGAGUUAGAGCGGUACUGGACAUUCCACCUCCAAGGACCUCGAAGUCACUACACGCCUUCCUAGGCCUCAUUUCCUAUUGCCGAGCAUGGAUCCCAGAAGCCUCGCUCCUUAUGCAACCUCUUUAUGAUGCCCUCAAGUCAGACCCAUUUUGCUUGUCCACAGAAGCCCUUGACAACUUCUGUUCUCUCAAACGUGCUAUUGCUUCUGCUCCUGCUCUUGGCCUACCAGACUAUACCAAACCCUUCAAAUUGUUUGUUUCUGAAAGACAAGGCCAUGCAACAGGAGUACUCACUCAGGCUCAUGGUCCUGGAGGCCGCCAAAGGCCUAUUGGAUUUUUCUCCUGCCAACUGGAUAUUGUGGCCAGAGGACGUCCCUCUUGCCUUCGGGCCGUCUUUGCUGCCAGAGAGCUCAUUGAAAGAACUGGGUAUCUUGUCCUUGGCCACCCCCUGGUUGUCUUGGCCCCUCAUGACAUUUCUGCCAUAGUCAACCAGGUCCAACUUAAGCAUGUUACUCCUGCUAGGCAUCUUCGCCUUCAAUGUCAUCUUUUGUUGCCUGACAACAUUACCCUCCAAAGAUGUCAAGUUCUCAAUCCGUCCACUCUUCUGCCACUCCCUGAGGGGGGUGUAUACUACGGAUUCAUCAUGGACGAAAUUUAUGUUUCUCUUCUCACUGGCACCAUCAAGAAGGAAAUGCAUCCCAACCUAUCCUUUUAUGAUGGACAAGCACUCCUUCAUGACGGAGCAGGAUAUGCCUUCUGUACCAUGUGGUACAAAUCAAACAUCACUCCUGAACCCUGCUAUGAAGAUGAACUCUAUCAUCUGGUCGAAG